CCGGUGUCCGAUUAGGUAGUUGGUGGGUAAAGGCCUACCAAGCCGACGAUCCUUAGCUGGUCUGAGAGGAUGAUCAGCCACACUGGGACUGAGACACGGCCCAGACUCCUACGGGAGGCAGCAGUGGGGAAUACUGGACAAUGGGCGAAAGCCUGAUCCAGCAAUGCCGCGUGAGUGAUGAAGGCCUUCGGGUCGUAAAGCUCUUUUACCAGGGAUGAUAAUGACAGUACCUGGAGAAUAAGCUCCGGCUAACUCCGUG
rnacentral:rRNA from 1 species